rnacentral:rRNA from 1 species
AUCAAUAAGCGGAGGAAAAGAAACCAACAGGGAUUGCCCUAGUAACGGCGAGUGAAGCGGCAACAGCUCAAAUUUGAAAUCUGGCUCUCGGGCCCGAGUUGUAAUUUGUAGAGGAUGCUUUUGGUGCGGUGCCUUCCGAGUUCCCUGGAACGGGACGCCAUAGAGGGUGAGAGCCCCGUCUGGUUGGACGCCAAUCCUCUGUAAAGCUCCUUCGACGAGUCGAGUAGUUUGGGAAUGCUGCUCUAAAUGGGAGGUAUAUGUCUUCUAAAGCUAAAUACCGGCCAGAGACCGAUAGCGCACAAGUAGAGUGAUCGAAAGAUGAAAAGAACUUUGAAAAGAGAGUUAAAAAGUACGUGAAAUUGUUGAAAGGGAAGCGCUUGUGACCAGACUUGGGCUUGGUUGAUCAUCCAGGGUUCUCCCUGGUGCACUCUUCCGGCCCAGGCCAGCAUCAGUUCGCCCCGGGGGACAAAGACGUCGGGAAUGUGGCUCUCUCCGGGGAGUGUUAUAGCCCGGCGUGCAAUACCCUGUGGCGGACUGAG